GCUAGUGUAGCUUAACUUAAAGCAUGGCACUGAAGAUGCCAAGACAAGAAUUAACUUUUUUCACCAGCA
rnacentral:tRNA from 1 species